rnacentral:lncRNA from 1 species
UUCCUUUGUUAUAGAAAUCCACAGACAACAUUCUGGAACUUCCAAACCAAAGAAAUGCAAGAUGAGAAGGAGCUUUUUACGUUACGCUUCAAUAGAAUGAAUUCGGUAAGGGUAGAAUAGGCCCUAUGGUCGAUCGAAGGUGCUGUGCCACUUGAACUCAAAUCUAUCUGACCUUCAAUCCAGCCAGCUCAUAACAAAGUGUUAGACCAAUCUCAGGGCUGACACAACCGAAUUGGUUGAGGAAAAGGAAACCCCAGCGACCAAGCACUCCCGCCCCCAAAAGCGGAGACCGAAGAACCGCCAGGUUGUCGAGGACACGUCUGAAGAGGAGGCGGGCGCCCUCUAAGUUGACCACCCUACCCACUAAUGGACUAUGAGGGGGGGGAAGGCGAACGGGAACCGACCGAAAACCCUCUCUUUAC